CUUUCCAUUCCCUGUGUGUUGCAGUUCGCUCUCAUUCCUUGUCAAGUUAGAACAGUUGGACCUUGGUGCUAAUGACCUGGAAUUACUGGUAACAAAAGGAGCAACACUAUGAACACGUCUACCAUUGCUGAUAGCGCUGCUAUAUCAUGUUGGGAUUGUCAGUGUUAACCAAAAGCUUUUAUUCAUGUCUGGCAGGAGGGGGAGAAAGACACAUUUCUACUGUGGGUCCAGCAUUUCCAAAACCUUGCUACUGGACAGUCCUUCCUGUUGUCUUCUAUGUUUCCUGUUGGGAGCUUCUGCAGCCAGUAUGCUAACCCAGACACUUCCAAACAUAUUUGCUGCAGUAUUGUGGCACACCAAAAUGUUAGUCUCAUAAACCAUUUGAUGAAUGGUUGUUGGAGGUGUGAAAGCAGUACCAUCGAGUUUUGCAGAGUUUUAGUGUGAUUUGGAAUAUCCUAGAGCAGUUUCUCCCCUGGAAAGGACUGACACUGCUACUGCUGUGACACUGCUACUGCCCUGCUCUGUUACAGCCAGAUAACUCUGGGAGUGCUACCAAACUUGUGCGAGCUUUGGUUAGACCAGAAUGAAGUCCUGUACCCAGCUGCACGCUGUAAUAGCAGAGAAGUCCGCAUCAGAUUCUGUGACAUUUUGUUCAUGUCCAGCUUGGGCUCUAGUGGUCUGAUAAAACACGUCAUUUGAACUGAUUCAAUCUUGAGGUAUGACACGUAUUCCUCUGAUUGUUAAAUGUCAUGCUCUGCAUGAGUGCUUUUUCUUCGGUAGGGCCUACAGCGCAGAGCAACCCCUCAUCCCAGCGAGCUGAAGGUUAUGAAGAAAGUUAUUGAAGUUCCGUGCAAUGAGGAGAAAGACUGAGUGCCACGUCAAAUCACAGUGAGGACUGCCACCUUUCUAACAGCACCACCUCUUGCUGACCUUAGGGCAGAGGAGCAGGGAAAAGAGGGACAAAGGAGCUGGCCAAAUGGGCAGCUGUCUGAGAUGCAGGAGCUGGGGAAGGUUGUAAAGCCAAAAGCUGAAGAGGAGCAUAAAGAAGCAGCUGUCCAAGAGGAGGAAGAUGUAGAAGUAGAAUACAAUGAGGUAGGAAUCUAGGAACUGCAUCAGGGUCAUGUUAAAAAGUGGAAGGAUUUGACAGUUUCUGAGAAAAUGAUAAAUGGAUUUACAGAGUAUGAUUUGGGCAUUGCUGGAGGCAAGUAAAGGCCCUGGAAGCUAACUGCAAGGAGAGAUUCAGGGAGCGUGGUGGAACAGGGUCCAUCAAAGACUAGGAAAAAUAGCAUGGGAAUGGGGCAGGGACUGUGCAAAAGUCAGGCUUACAGGUUUGAGUGCCCAUGAAGCUGACAGAUGUGUCUAGGUGAAGGAGUUAAUAUGGGAGAUGGGGCAAAAACAAGUAUAGGGAAAUUGGGGUAUGUAUUCCUGCAUCUUCUUUAACAUUAAAGCAGAAAUGCUGGCUUUGCAUGCGUUGGUAGUAGAGGGACAGCAGAUUUAUGUGCUGCCUGCAGCUAUGGCUGUUAUCUGAGGCUCGCAGCCUUUCUGGGGCUUUGCCAUUGCAGCCCACUGUACACUUUACUGAGGACACAUUAAUAAGGAGUGAAGAUGAGGAUGAAGAUGAAAAGUGACCAUUCCCAGUGGAGAAACAGAGGCUUAUCCACAAGGACACACCCCAUUAUAAGAAACACUUUUAAGAUAACUAAACUGCCCAAGCCGGAGGAAGUGGUGGCACUCCUGCAGGGGCUGAACAGUGAGGGAGUCCUAAAAGAGGAAGAGGAGCUGGGAAAUCACAAUAACAAUGCAGAACCUGAGGAUCGGGAGGAAGCAUGGGAUGAGGAUAACAGAAAAAGUGGAGCUUUAUCUGCUCAUCCACCAGUGCAGAUAAGGUCUUGAGGGGAUGGGGAAAGGUCAGAGGGGUGCCAGACCACCCUUCUGCUGCUUUGAACUACCAGCCAGGUUGAUGCAGUACAAAUGAAAAUGUUCUCAAGAGGCUCCAGCACUUCAGGAGAAACACGCUGAGGUCAGGAGAACUGAAGUUCUUUCUGGGGCUUAUACAAUUGUCCAACAGCUGUGCCAUGUUGCUUAUGUCUGACUUCUCACGCUAUGUCCAAAUGCUUGCAUGCUCCCCUUAUGUGUGAUGUUGUGAUCUGUGCUGCAAGAACGGUUCUUUUGUCCCAUCACUGAUGGGUUUUUUCAUUCCUUUCAAAAAACGACCUCCUUGCUUGCUAGUUGUUGCACCUCGUUUGCUACAGAAUGAGCCAUGUCUGUGGAUGGAUCUAAUCUCCUCAGGCUUAUGUUCAGACUGCUUACAGUUGCUUUUCUGCCACGGUUCAGGUCCUGAAGAGGAGUACUAGUGAGAGCAGUUAGGAGCAUGCCAUUCUCAUUGGUUCUACCCAGUGCCUGCCCCAGAACAGGUGCAGUCUGAUGAAAUGUGCCUAGGGACUCAAGAGAGCCUGUUUUAUGAAGUUCUGCCAUUGCCAUGGGGCCACAGCGAGCCUUUCUGGUCAUGGUUGGGGCUGAUGAGUUAAAAGGUCCUUGGCUCUACUCAGGUGAAUCCCCAUGUUUCAUCAGGGACAUCCAGAUUCUUGCUUGAGGAAGAUGCUCACAGUAGAAUAGGAAUAUACUUACAAGGGACAUUGCCUGAGGUCAGACCAGUUCUUACUGAAAUUGGU